rnacentral:rRNA from 1 species
CGGACGGGUGAGUAAUGUCUGGGAAACUGCCUGAUGGGGGGGGAUAACUACUGGAAACGGUAGCUAAUACCGCAUAACGUCGCAAGACCAAAGUGGGGGACCUUCGGGCCUCUUGCCAUCGGAUGUGCCCAGAUGGGAUUAGCUAGUAGGUGGGGUAACGGCUCACCUAGGCGACGAUCCCUAGCUGGUCUGAGAGGAUGACCAGCCACACUGGAACUGAGACACGGUCCAG